UGUCCGGCCUGAAGACACAUUGUGUGACCCUUUCAAACUAUGUAUUUUCAGACCUGAGU
rnacentral:pre_miRNA from 1 species